AAUUUCCUUUUUUACUUCGUUGACGUUUCGUUUUCAACUUCUUUCCUUCUUUUCCUUCCGUGUUCCAUAGCGCGCCUUUGAAAAGGUUGGAGCUUGUUCCAAACUGGAACAAAAUCACCACAAAGUGUGAUCCGUUGGAAUGUAUGUGUAGUACAUUACCACCGCAUUCAAUUUGAUAUAUGGGAUUUUCCGAGUCGAAAUACUAAAAAAGGUUACGCUUGGGUUUUGACCCAGCUUCGGAGAAUCAUAAUUUAGAUAUUCGUCCAUUAUAAUGCAGAAAGGAAAUUGGAGAAUCAUCAAGUCCAUGCCAUCAGUCAGAUAUUAUCAUCGGUCUAUAGAUAUUUGAAAUAUGUCAUCAGUUAUGCCGUGCGCGCAAAGAAUCAGUGACUGAAACUGAUCUGCAUAUACCAAGAAAAAUAAUCAUCAAUGCACUUGUAGGAUCCAAAUAAAGAAAAGUAGAAAGAAAGUGAGAAGAAGAAAAGAAGAAAAAAGAAAUCAAAAAAUUAGAAAUUCUCCCCUUCUAAUUUAAUGCAAAAUGCAAGGGCA
rnacentral:sRNA from 2 species